ACCCGCUGAACUUAAGCAUAUCAAUAAGCGGAGGAAAAGAAACCAACAGGGAUUGCCUUAGUAACUGCGAGUGAAGCGGCAAAAGCUCAAAUUUGAAAUCUGGCGUCUUCGGCGUCCGAGUUGUAAUUUGGAGAGGCAUCUUCGGAAUGGUCACCGGUCCAAGUUCCUUGGAACAGGACGUCACAGAGGGUGAGAAUCCCGUGUCUGGCUGGUUGUACCAAUCCAUGUGAAGUGUCUUCGACGAGUCGAGUUGUUUGGGAAUGCAGCUCAAAAUGGGAGGUAAAUUUCUUCUAAAGCUAAAUAUUGGCGAGAGACCGAUAGCGCACAAGUAGAGUGAUCGAAAGAUGAAAAGCACUUUGAAAAGAGAGUUAAAAAGUACGUGAAAUUGUUGAAAGGGAAGCGCUUGAGACCAGACUCGACCAGUGGUGAUCAGCGGUGCUUCUGUGCCGUGCACUUGCCAUUGGUUGGGCCAGCAUCGGUUUGGACGGCGGGAUAAAGACCUAAGGAAUGUGGCUCCCUCCGGGGAGUGUUAUAGCCUUGAGUGCAAUGCCGCCAGUCUGGACCGAGGACCGCGCUUCGGCUAGGAUGCUGGCGUAAUGGUCUU
rnacentral:rRNA from 1 species